rnacentral:rRNA from 1 species
UUUUAGUUUGCCCUCCCGAAACUAAGUGAGCUACUUUAAGAUAGCCCUAGAGCUAACCCGUCUCUGUUGCAAAAGAGUGGGAAAAUCCUAAAGUAGAGGUGAUAUACCUAUCGAACUUAGAGAUAGCUGGUUUUUUAAGAAAAGAAUUUUAGUUCUACUUUAAAUUUUAUAUUAAACAAAAAUAUACCUAAAUUUAAAAGCUACUCAAAUAAGGCACAGCUUAUUUGAAAUAGGAUACAACCUAGACCUCAGGGUAAGAUAAAUUAAAUUUUGAUAAGUGGGCCUAAAAGCAGCCAUCUUUCAAAAAGCGUCAUAGCUUAGUAAGCACAAUUUGACUAAUACCAGUACUCACCUCUAACCCUUAUACACUAUUAAAAACCCCAUAAUAUUAUGGAAGCUACUAUGCUAGAACAAGUAACAAGAAAAAGACUUUCUCCAAAAAUGUAAGCUUAAGCCAUAAUAGACCUGCUACUGGCAAUUAACACCCAUAAACCCACUGUA